CAGCAGCCGCGGUAAUACGGAGGGUGCAAGCGUUAUCCGGAUUUAUUGGGUUUAAAGGGUGCGCAGGCGGAAUGAUUAGUCAGUGGUGAAAUCCUACAGCUCAACUGUAGAAUUGCCAUUGAUACUGUCAUUCUUGAGUACAGAUGAAGUGGGCGGAAUGUAUCAUGUAGCGGUGAAAUGCAUAGAUAUGAUACAGAACUCCGAUAGCGAAGGCAGCUCACUAAACUGACACUGACGCUCAGGCACGAAAGCGUGGGGAGCAAACAGGAUUAGAUACCCUGGUAGUCCACGCCGUAAACGAUGAUCACUCGUUGUUGGCAACACAUAGUCAGCGACUGAACGAAAGUAUUAAGUGAUCCACCUGGGGAGUACGAUCGCAAGGUUGAAACUCAAAGGAAUUGACGGGGGCCCGCACAAGCGGAGGAGCAUGUGGUUUAAUUCGAUGAUACGCGAGGAACCUUACCUGGGCUUAAAUGCUAAACGACAUUCCGAGAAAUCGGAACUUCCUUCGGGACGUUUUGCAAGGUGCUGCAUGGUUGUCGUCAGCUCGUGCCGUGAGGUGUCGGGUUAAGUCCCAUAACGAGCGCAACCCCUAUCCUUAGUUGCCAUCAGGUAAUGCUGGGGACUCUAAGGAAACUGCCUACGCAAGUAGUGAGGAAGGUGGGGAUGACGUCAAAUCAGCACGGCCCUUAUGUCCAGGGCUACACACGUGCUACAAUGGUCGGUACAGAGGGUCGCUACAUGGUGACAUGAUGCUAAUCCUCGAAAACCGGUCUCAGUUCGGAUCGAAGUCUGCAACUCGACUUCGUGAAGCUGGAUUCGCUAGUAAUCGCAUAUCAGCAAUGGUGCGGUGAAUACGUUCCCGGGCCUUGUACACACCGCCCGUCAAGCCAUGGAAGCUGGGGGUACCUGAAGUCCGUGACCGCAAGGAGCGGCCUAGGGUAAAACUAGUGACUGGGGAUAAGUCGUAACAAGGUAACCGUA
rnacentral:rRNA from 1 species